rnacentral:ncRNA from 1 species
UACUCAUCAAGAGUUGGUGGAGGGACAGGCCCGAUGAAACCGCGGCAACCAUUUGAGCAUUCUCAAAACGGUGCCAAGUCCUGCGGAAUAGCCGCAAGAUGGGAG